GAGAUGGAGGGGCAGAGCCAGGAGUACAAGAUGCUGCUGGGCAUCAAGACCCGCCUGGAGCAGGAGAUUGCUCAGUACCGGGCACUGCUCCACGAGGGACAGCAAGACCUUGCUUCCUCCCAAGGAGCUUUCCAAGGAGGUGGAAAAUCCUCCCAGUCAUAUUCUUCGAGUUCCUUCUCUCAGUCCCAGUCUGGUGAAGUGUCAGGGCAGUCAAGAGUGUGCUAGAGCAGCAGCAUUGAUGUCAGCAUCCUCCAAAACGCACUGAACUGACCCAUGGACAACAAGAGACAGAACCCGACGCUUCCGCAGUGCAGCUGAUACGAUGCAGCAUCCAUCAUCACCUUCCUUCCCUUCUGCAAUACUGGCCUUACUCCCCUUGUCUUUGUCAACUGAACCUUUGUUUAAAAGCUUGAAUUCUGCUGAAAAUGCCGUCAUUAAUAAAACUUCACUUCUUUGAUGCAAAUUAAAAUGUGUAAGGAAUUUAAUAUAACAAACUUUGCACAUACAUCAUCAAGGCAUCCAACAAAACACAGGCAGUCCCCACAGUCUGUAACAUACACUAAGAACAAACAGUUCUGCUCUAAGCAAAUGGCCACUGUGCCCAGGUGACAUCACUGAGCCCAAGGAGAGAAGGAAAACGAUGGGUGAUCUCAGAAGA